rnacentral:rRNA from 1 species
CGGAGCUCCGGUUCGUUUACCUUGAAUAAAUUAGAGUGUUCAAAGCGGGCAAGCACACGCCUAGAUACUUUAGCAUGGGAUAAUAGAAUAGGACUUGGGUUCUAUUUUCGUUGGUUUCUAGGACCGAAGUAAUGAUUGAUAGGGACGGUCGGGGGCAUUAGUAUUUAAUUGUCAGAGGUGAAAUUCUCGGAUUUAGGAAAGACUGACUUCAGCGAAAGCAUUUGCCAAGGACGUUUUCAUUAAUCAAGAACGAAAGUUAGGGGAUCGAAGACGAUCAGAUACCGUCGUAGUCUUAACCAUAAACGAUGCCGACCAGGGAUCGGGAGACGUUACCUCGAUGACUCUCCCGGCACCUUGCGGGAAACCACAAGUCUUUGGGUUCCGGGGGGAGUAUGGUCGCAAGGCUGAAACUUAAAGGAA